UCCUACGGGGAAAGCAGCAGUGGGGAAUAUUGGACAAUGGGCGCAAGCCUGAUCCAGCCAUACCGCGUGGGUGAAGAAGGCCUUCGGGUUGUAAAGCCCUUUUGUUGGGAAAGAAAUCCAUCUGGCUAAUACCCGGGUGGGAUGACGGUACCCAAAGAAUAAGCACCGGCUAACUUCGUGCCAGCAGCCGCGGUAAUACGAAGGGUGCAAGCGUUACUCGGAAUUACUGGGCGUAAAGCGUGCGUAGGUGGUCGUUUAAGUCCGUUGUGAAAGCCCUGGGCUCAACCUGGGAACUGCAGUGGAUACUGGGCGACUAGAAUGUGGUAGAGGGUAGCGGAAUUCCUGGUGUAGCAGUGAAAUGCGUAGAGAUCAGGAGGAACAUCCAUCCUACGGGAGGCAGCAGGCUACACAAAUAUUGACGGUGAGGCACGAAAGCGUGGGGAUCAAACAGGAUUAGAUACCCUGGUAGUCCACGCCCUAAACGAUGAUUACUCGACAUUUGCGAUAUACAGUAAGUGUCUGAGCGAAAGCAUUAAGU
rnacentral:rRNA from 1 species